GUGCCCCAAAGGACACAGUACUCAUUCAAUUGAGACAGUAAUUGUUUUCAAAUGAGAUUCUAAUUUGCUGGAAAUUUUGGCUUCAGGCUAGAGAAAGGAAAUAGGGUUCAGGUGGAAGGUGACAAGAAAACCAGCUUAAGAGGACUAUCUCAGGUGAUAGCCAUGGGCAGCCCAAAGUAUCACAGCAGCUAAGCUCUGACACAAAGCAGGACCCAGCUUGAAAUCUGUCAAGCCAAAGCGACGUUUAUCACAAGCUUGCUGUUUCUUCAGCGUGGUCCACCGUUGCGAUACAAGCCAUGAACGAGCCAUCGGCGAAGGCAUCUUGAAAUCACAUUGAUGUAUUCUGGAACAAGAAGGAGAAACAGGGAGCAGCAGAUGGAGUUGGAAUCAAACUCUUAAGAAGGAAAGAUGGCGUGUUGGUAGCGUCUCGAGUUAGAGGAGAGAAAUGAAGGGAAAAGAUGCUCCAGGAUUCUCUGGACCUGAUGCUGCUGCCAUUAAGACAUCUGCUCGUUUAAUAUGAUUUUCAAAAUGUUUCCUUUCUACAACUGUUGCUCCUUCUCUAGGCUUUUCUUUCCCUCGUUUCAAACUGUAGGAAAGGGGCAUUGGGCCCUUGACCACACUUUCCACAGGUGUGCAAAAAGUGGAAUUGGAAGCACCAUCAACAUGCUCUCUGAUAUCUAGCAAAUUAACAGGUGAUUUGAAAAUAGAUACAGUGCCCAGUGGAUCAAUAGACAUGUUCCUAUUACACAAUUCACAUGUACAAGUGUGGACCCACAACAAAAUGUUGCAGUAUACCCCAGUAUAUAUGGGUUACCUGGGCCUGUGCAUGGUGAAAAAAACCAAAGCUGGCCACAAAUUAGGAGUCACAGCUGUAACUUGAAUCUUACUUCAUAUGCAAAUUUUAUUUUUCACAGUA